rnacentral:misc_RNA from 1 species
AUUCUAUCAAUUCCAAGCUGAUCGUGCUAUUCCUGAUCUUGAGAAACAAGUGAAAGUCCUUGAAGAAGAGAGGGACUCGAUGAUAAUUGAAGAAGAAGAUAAUCUAAAGAAUUAAGAAUUAUUAUGAUCUGAUUCAACAAUACAAAAGUUUGAAGAAGGAUGUUUGUGAUAUUGUGUUUUCUCCAAAGUACUGCCUACCCUUUCUGCAGGCCGGUAGAAUUGUAUGCCUCCAAUGCACUGGGAUUGAUGAAAGCUCUCCAUCUUUCUCCAUUGAAGACAAAGUUACAUGGGGUGUGAUAAUCAAUUUUGACAGAGUCAAAAACUUUUCUGAAGAUGAUGCAAGUAGAAAGCCCGAAG